GAUCUAGUCCAUACUUCAUGAUUUUUUGAUCAGAGUUGCUUAGAUCGAUCCUCAACUAGGAGAUCAUAAAUUAUUUCGAUGUCUAGACUGCCUAUUAGAUCGACCAUCUGAUCAACGACCUCUUUCAUUAUUUAAUUUUAUUGAACUCAUUGAAAAGAAAUUGAUGAUGAUUGGAUAUUUUAAAUAGGAUUACCUGUGAAGCC
rnacentral:lncRNA from 1 species